UUGGCUUUGCCUCCAGCUGUUUCUUUACAGACACGCUGAACGCCAGCAGGAGCCGGGGGCCAAGAUCAGCCCGUCGAGUCUGGCCACACGCAGGCCACUUAAGUGCACACGUACGCAGACACAGACGGCCACAGUUACUGCAAGCUCACGCAGAUAAAAACGGGGACGCUCCUGGCAACGGCAGCGACCAAGUUCACCAAAGCAGUGAGUGGCCAGGAAAGUGUCAUGUCAGCUAUAAUGUUUCAGCGUUUCCGCAGAAAGGGAACGGUCGGGAAAGGUUGCUGGCCGUUUGACUAUCUACAAGCUUGGACAAAAUGUGCAACGAUUCAUAAACGUUGGUAAAGAAUACCCACAAAUCUGGAGGACAUCCACCCUUGGCUGGAGAACAAAACAAAAGCCACCUCAGAAGUCAAUCACAGACA